CAGUAGCCGCGGUAAAACGUAGGGUGCAAGCGUUAAUCGGAAUUACUGGGCGUAAAGCGUGCGCAGGCGGUUUGUCAAGACAGAUGUGAAAUCCCCGGGCUCAACCUGGGAACUGCAUUUGUGACUGGCAGGCUAGAGUAUGGCAGAGGGGGGUGGAAUUCCGCGUGUAGCAGUGAAAUGCGUAGAUAUGCGGAGGAACACCGAUGGCGAAGGCAGCCCCCUGGGCCAAUACUGACGCUCAUGCACGAAAGCGUGGGGAGCAAACAGGAUUAGAUACCCGAGUAGUCCCUGUCUCUUAUAC
rnacentral:rRNA from 1 species